AUCUUUGCACAGAGGCAGUAUCACAGCCAAUGAGGUUUAUCUGAGGCGUGAUUAUUGCUAAUUGAAAUUAGAAUAAACAACCAUAAUUUGCAUGUAUGCAUCAAAAAUUUAAACUUUCUCAAUAUAUAGUUUUU
rnacentral:snRNA from 1 species